CUUUACAGGAGUUUUGGAAGUGCAGUUUUCUGACAGAGGAUGUAUGGAUUCCCAUUUAUGUAAUGAUUACUUUGAUUUGAUGACCAUAGUGAAGGAUGUUGACACAGCUGUCUUUACUUGCAUUUAAAAUACAAAUCAAAUAGCCAAUUCUACUGAGGUUUGCAAUCCCCAAAAGCAAAUUUGUAUUUCAUUUUUGACAAUAUUAUUUGAAAAAAAUAUAAUUGUAAUUUUAU